GACAGAGGGAGGGAGGGAGUGACUAGUGACAGAGGGAGGGAUGGGGUGACUAGUGACAGUCACCACCUCCUUCACUCUGUCACUGUGUCACCCCCUUCCUCACUCUGUCACUGUGUCACCUCUUCCUCACUCUGUCA